GGGUGGAGGGGAAGGAGGGGAUAAGGAGGAUGGAAACAGGGAAAGGAAAAGAGUGGGAAUUAACUGAUAUUCAGUGAAAGAGGUGUCACCUCUGUUUAGGUGCAGAUGUCGUGUCCAAGUAUGUUUCCACCAUUCAGAGAUGGAAUAGAAAAAAAUGGUACAAAUGGACAGUUAGACAUAAUUAAAGUCAUCAGGUCUAAGAUGACUUUGAGAUUUACAAUUUAAAGGAGUCCUCAGAAUCCUCAGGAAAAAAUUGCUGUUACAGGUUGCUGGCAAGUAGGGCUGUGGGUUCCAGAAAGAGCUCAUGUUAGCAGUGCUGCGGUCACAAACUUUGACAACUCAGAAGGCACAGAUGAGCACAGGCUAGUCUGCAUAAAAGAAUCUUAAAUCUGGGCCAGCAGGAUGAUGGAAAUAAGACAACAGAGAGCACAGAUGAGAUGAGGACAUCACAAUAAUUACCCAAGCAGCCUUGUGUUGACGAGCCAAACCCAUCAAAUCCUCUGGGGAAACGUUGAUUCACCAGUAUGACCCUGAGCCAGAGAAAGGAAUGACAAAGUAACACCCUCAGAUGAAGCACCAGGCAACUCACAAUGACACCUUAGGAAACUACCAGACAGAUCAUAGUUAAAUGGGGUUUCUCAAAGAUGUAAGAUGUAAAAUCCUUCCCCAAAAGUCAUUAUCCCAUCACAGCUCUGGACUGAUCACACACAGCAGUGGGACUACGGCUCACUUGACACUGCACAAUGAAGAGCUGCAUAAGUAUCCUUUUAUUCAGCCUUUUCCAAAUUAAAAGCAUGUCAAUGUAAAUAUGGAAACGUUUUUCGCACACUGUGUUGAAACUAAUUGCCCAUUUUAAAUGUGUCAGCUGAAACAU